rnacentral:rRNA from 1 species
GGACUACUAGGGUUUCUAAUCCCGUUUGCUCCCCUGGCUUUCGCGCCUCAGCGUCAGUGUCAGCCCAGCAACCCGCCUUCGCCUCAGGUGUUCUUCCCAAUAUCUACGCAUUUCACCGCUACACUGGGAAUUCCAGUUGCCCCUUCUGCACUCUAGCUCGGCAGUCUCAAAAGCAGUUCCUCGGUUGAGCCCAGGCCUUUCACUCCUGACUUGCCGUGCCGCCUACGCGCCCUUUACGCCCAGUAAUUCCGAACAACGCUUGCCCCCUACGUAUUACCGCGGCUGCUGGCAC